rnacentral:rRNA from 1 species
GGCCGCCNUGGCCGCGGGNUUAGAGUUUGAUCAUGGCUCAGGACGAACGCUGGCGGCGUGCUUAAUACAUGCAAGUCGAGCGAGGUUACUGUUUCGGAUCCCUUCGGGGUGAAGAAGCUUUAACCUAGCGGCGGACGGGUGAGUAACGCGUGGGUAACCUACCCCAAAGUCCGGGAUAACAGCGGGAAACCGCUGCUAAUACCGGAUGCCUUUACCUUGGGGCAUCUUGAGGUAAAGAAAGGUAACGCUUUGGGAUGGGCCCGCGUCCCAUUAGCUAGUUGGUGAGGUAACGGCUCACCAAGGCGACGAUGGGUAGCCGGCCUGAGAGGGUGGACGGCCACACUGGGACUGAGACACGGCCCAGACUCCUACGGGAGGCAGCAGUAGGGAAUAUUGCGCAAUGGACGGAAGUCUGACGCAGCGACGCCGCGUGAGCGAUGAAGGUCUUCGGAUCGUAAAGCUCUGUCCUUGGGGAAGAAGGCGAAAGCUUGACGGUACCCAAGAAGAAAGCCCCGGCUAACUACGUGCCAGCAGCCGCGGUAAUACGUAGGGGGCGAGCGUUGUCCGGAAUUACUGGGCGUAAAGGGUGCGUAGGCGGCCCUUUAAGUCGGAUGUGAAAGCCCGCGGCUUAACCGCGGAAUGGCAUUCGAAACUGGAGGGCUUGAGUGUCGGAGAGGGUAGUGGAAUUCCCAGUGUAGCGGUGAAAUGCGUAGAUAUUGGGAGGAACACCAGUGGCGAAGGCGACUACCUGGACGAUAACUGACGCUGAGGCACGAAAGCUAGGGGAGCAAACAGGAUUAGAUACCCUGNUAGUCCUAGCCGUAAACGAUGGGUACUAGGUGUGGGUGGUUUCGAUACCAUCCGUGCCGUAGUUAACGCAUUAAGUACCCCGCCUGGGGAGUACGUGCGCAAGCAUGAAACUCAAAUGAAUUGACGG